rnacentral:rRNA from 1 species
AUUGAACGCUGGCGGCAUGCCUUACACAUGCAAGUCGAACGGCAGCGCGGACUUCGGUCUGGCGGCGAGUGGCGAACGGGUGAGUAAUACAUCGGAUCGUACCCUGUUGUGGGGGAUAACUAGUCGAAAGAUUAGCUAAUACCGCAUACGACCUGAGGGUGAAAGUGGGGGACCGCAAGGCCUCACGCAGCAGGAGCGGCCGAUGUCUGAUUAGCUAGUUGGUGGGGUAAAGGCCCACCAAGGCGACGAUCAGUAGCUGGUCUGAGAGGACGAUCAGCCACACUGGGACUGAGACACGGCCCAGACUCCUACGGGAGGCAGCAGUGGGGAAUUUUGGACAAUGGGGGCAACCCUGAUCCAGCAAUGCCGCGUGUGUGAAGAAGGCCUUCGGGUUGUAAAGCACUUUUGUCCGGAAAGAAAUCGCGCUGGUUAAUACCUGGCGUGGAUGACGGUACCGGAAGAAUAAGCACCGGCUAACUACGUG